AACUUUCAACAACGGAUCUCUUGGUUCUGGCAUCGAUGAAGAACGCAGCGAAAUGCGAUAAGUAAUGUGAAUUGCAGAAUUCAGUGAACCAUCGAAUCUUUGAACGCACAUUGCGCCCGCCAGCAUUCUGGCGGGCAUGCCUGUUCGAGCGUCAU
rnacentral:rRNA from 1 species